rnacentral:rRNA from 1 species
UUCCGUAGGUGAACCUGCGGAGGGAUCAUUACCGAGUUUACAACUCCCAAACCCCCUGUGAACCUUACCAUUCUGUUGCUUCGGCGGAGCUGCCCCAGGGCUGCCCUGGAACCAGGCACCCGCCGGGGGACCCAAACUCUUAUGUUUUUCUUCAGGGGAUUUAUCUGAGUGGCUUUAAGCAGAAAAUGAAUCAAAACUUUCAACAACGGAUCUCUUGGUUCUGGCAUCGAUGAAGAACGCAGCGAAAUGCGAUAAGUAAUGUGAAUUGCAGAUUUCAGUGAAUCAUCGAAUCUUUGAACGCACAUUGCGCCCGCCAGUACUCUGGCGGGCAUGCCUGUCCGAGCGUCAUUUCAACCCUCAAGCCCCCCCUGGGGCUUGGUGUUGGGGACCGGCCCCGCCCUAUCGCGGGUUGCCGCCCCCGAAAUACAGUGGCGGUCUCGCUGCAGCCUCCUCUGCGUAGUACCUGAAACCUCGCACUGGAGCGCGGCGCGGCCACGCCGAUAAACCCCCCAACUUUGCAAAAGGUUGACCUCGGAUCAGGUAGGGAUACCCGCUGAACUUAAGCAUAUCA